rnacentral:tRNA from 1 species
AGGGCUGUGGUGAAAUGGUAUCACUGCUGUCUCCAAAACAGCCAUUUCAGGUUCAAAUCCUGGCAGCCCUG